rnacentral:rRNA from 1 species
CCCUUAGAUGUUCUGGGCCGCACGCGCGCUACACUGAAGGGGUCAGCGUGUUUUCCCUUUCCGAGAGGGACGGGUAACCCGCUGAACUCCCUUCGUGGUAGGGAUCGGGGCUUGCAAUUAUUCCCCGUGAACCAGGAAUUCCCAGUAAGCGCAAGUCAUAAGCUUGCGUUGAUUACGUCCCUGCCCUUUGUACACACCGCCCGUCGCUACUACCGAUUGAACGUUUUAGUGAGGUAUUUGGAUCGGCGCUUUGGAGGUUAAUUCUUCCAUUGUGCUGAAAAGACUCCCAAACUUGAGCGUUUAGAGGAAGUAAAAGUCGUAACA